rnacentral:rRNA from 2 species
ACGGGUGAGUAACACAUGGGCAACCCUUGCCUGUAAGACUGGGAUAGCUCCAGGAAACCGGAGCUAAUACCGGAUAACAUUUUCUCUUGCAUAAUAUAAAAUUGAAAGAUGGUUUCUGCUAUGACUUACUGAUGGGCCCGCGGUGCAUUAGCUAGUUGGUGAGGUAACGGCUCACCAAGGCAACGAUGCAUAGCCCACCUGAGAGGGUGAUCGGCCACACUGGGACUGAGACACGGGCCACACUCCUACGGGAGGCAGCACUACGGAAUCUUCCGCAAUGGACGAAAGUCUGACGGACCAACGCCUCGUGAGUGAUGAACGCUUUCGGGUCGAAAAACUCUGUUGCUAGGGAAGAACAAGUACAAGAGUAAUGCUUGUACCUUGACGGUCCUAACCUUAAAGCCACGGUAACUAAUGCCCGCAGCCGCGGUAAUACGUAGGUGGCAAGCGUUAUCCGGAAUUAUUGGGGUAAAGAAUCGCGCGGCGGUUUCUUAAGUCUGAUGUGAAAGCCCACGGCUCAACCUGGAGGCAUGUCAUUGGAAACUGGGGACUUGAUGCUGAAGAAAAACGGAAUUCCAUGUGUAGCGGAGAAUGCGUUAGAUGUGAAGGAACACCAGAGGCGAAGACGCUUUUGGUCUGUACUGACUCUGAGUGCAAAGACGUGGAAGCAACAGGAUGGAUACCUGGUAGUCCCUCCGCAACGAUCAUGCUAGUGUUAAAGGUUUCGCCUUUAGUGCUGCACUACGCAUUAGCACUCACCUGGGAGUACGCCGGCCAGACUGAACUCAAAGGAAUUACUGGGGGCCCGCACAGCCGGGGGACCAUGUGGUUUAAUUAUUCACAACACGCGAAACCUAAUCAGGCUGACUCUCUACAUCCUCUGACAACUCUAGAGAUAGAGGACGUCCCUUCUGGGGACAGAGUACCACGGGGCGCAUGGUUGUUGCGCACUCGUUCCGUGAGAAAUUGGGUUAAGCCCUACGAAGAGCGCAACCCCUGAUUUUAGU